GGAGUUGUAGCUCAGUGGUAUAGUGCUUGCCUAGCACACAUGAGGCCCUGGGUUCAAUCCUCAGCACCA
rnacentral:tRNA from 1 species